UCGCCUGUUUAUCAAAAACAUCGCCUCUUUGCAUUCCAAGUAUAAGAGGUCCCACCUGCCCUGUGACUCUAAGUUUAACGGCCGCGGUAUUCUAACCGUGCGAAGGUAGCGCAAUCAAUUGCCUUUUAAAUGAAGGCCUGUAUGAAUGGUAUAACGAGGGUCUAGCUGUCUCUUUUUUCUAGUCAGUUAAACUGAUCUGUCCGUGCAGAAGCGGACAUAGACAUACAAGACGAGAAGACCCUAUGGAGCUUUAGACACUAGCCAACUGUGAUAAGCGACUGAACUGAACAGGUCCUAAAUACCCGCAGCCUUAUGGUAAUGUAGUCUUAGGUUGGGGCGACCACGGGAGAAAGUAAAGCUCCCAAGCAGACCGGGAAAACCCUUAAGCCGAGAGUUGCAACUCUAAGCCGCAAAAUUUUUGACUGAUAUGAUCCGGUUGAAAAACCGAUUAACGAACCAAGUUACCCUAGGGAUAACAGCGCAAUCCUCUCCCAGAGUCCCUAUCGACGAGGGGGUUUACGACCUCGAUGUUGGAUCAGGACAUCCUAAUGGUGCAGCCGCUAUUAAGGGUUCGUUUGUUCAACGAUUAAAGUCCUACGUGAUCUGAGUUCARACCGGAG
rnacentral:rRNA from 1 species